rnacentral:rRNA from 1 species
GAUGAACGCUGGCGGCGUGCCUAAUACAUGCAAGUCGAGCGAACGGACGAGAAGCUUGCUUCUCUGAUGUUAGCGGCGGACGGGUGAGUAACACGUGGAUAACCUACCUAUAAGACUGGGAUAACUUCGGGAAACCGGAGCUACUACCGGAUAAUAUUUUUAACCGCAUGGUUCAAAAGUGAAAGACGGUCUUGCUGUCACUUCUAGAUGGAUCCGCGCUGCAUUAGCUAGUUGGUAAGGUAACGGCUUACCAAGGCAACGAUGCAUAGCCGACCUGAGAGGGUGAUCGGCCACACUGGAACUGAGACACGGUCCAGAGUCCUACGGGAGGCAGCAGUAGGGAAUCUUCCGCAAUGGGCGAAAGCCUGACGGAGCAACGCAGCGUGAGUGAUGAAGGUCUUCGGAUCGUAAAACUCUGUUAUUAGGGAAGAACAUAUGUGUAAGUAACUGUGCACAUCGUGACGGUACCUAAUCAGAAAGCCACGGCUAACUACGUG